ensembl:lncRNA
CAGCGCUCGACUGUUCCACAAAAAACCCCGAGCAUAUUAGUUUGCUUUCACUUUAAGAACCAAGCACGGAUUUAAUAUACAGAUGCCUUCUCUUUCUGAACUGUUAACGUUAAGACAUAUGACUAAACGACUGUGUUUACUAGGAAAUUCGCCCAAACGCGCAUUUUGAUGUAAUUUUGUCUGUAUUUAUUCAUCCAUGCACAAAAAAGUGGAAGAGAGCCCAAUUUAGUAUUCGCGCGUGCGGCUGUCUGUGUGCACGCGCUUCAGAUGUGUGCGCUGAAAACUUGUCACACAGCGCUCGACUGUUCCACAAAAAACCCCGAGCAUCUUUUAUGCUUCACCUUGUGCCUUCGGGCAGGGGCAGUCCUUAUAUCGAGUCCUGAUACGAGAGUUUGAGCGAGAAUGCACGCGUUGGUGGUAAUGCAUAGACGGACAUUAUGUGAAAAUGUGGACAGUGCCAAAUAAGGUGCCUAUUUAUAUUACAGAUAUCGAUAUAUUACGUGUGGCAUCGAUGCAUCGUAUCGUCAGACAUCGUAUCGAUGUAUCGAUCCAUAUCGAUGAAUCAUUACACCCCUAUUUCCUUCUGUAUGUCGCGUGCUUCAAAGAAGCAAAUCAAGUAAAACUUGGAUAAAGAUAACGCAUGGUUUGGCCAGUACUGAUAUGCAGUUCAUUUGUUUUUAUGUAGAGACGUGCUGCUGACGCGACACGAACACUUCCGCUCAGUUACUAUGACAACAGCGGGCGUCCGGUUUCCAAACAACAGAAGGAGCGCGCUCGGUUCAGCGGAGCUCCGUUCCUCCGUGUUUCUCGUCGAAGCGCUGCUCGUAAAGCACUCAUGGAUCCCGCCUCUUCACCCGCUCUGAAAACAGACGCUCGUCUGAAGCUGAAAGUCGAACACAGAAAGAAAAACGUGUUUGUAACGCAGCUGGAGGAGCACAGAGAGCAGACCGAGGAGCACGUCCAGCACAUCCCGGUGAUAACAGAGUCCUCCAGCGGGCUCCUGGACACCGGGGUCCACACGCUGCAGACCACACUAGUCCUGAAGAAGCGCUCCGAGGUGGACGCAGUGGACACACGGCUGAUGGACACACGGCAGGAGGUUCAGAGGAGCAUGAAGAUCCUGCAGCAGAGACGAGCGCAGCUGCAGCAGAGACAGACGGAGACGAAACACAGGGCAGUAAGAUUUGAGAAGUUUGUGGAGGAGAACGAGGUGAAACGUCGCCGUGCGCUGAAGAAGUUCCAGACGGAGAGAGAGCAGAACCAAGUGAAAGAACAGGAGAAAGCUGAGCUCUUCAAACAACUCCAGGACUUACAAGCCAGGCGUCAGUAUUUACAGGAGCGAGUGAACAAAUACAAGAUAUUCGAGGAGUUUCUGAUGAAGACUCUCGAUUUACUUCCAGACAAGUAUGUGGGCUACGGGACGGACCUGGUGACGCCGAUCAUCAGACGCUACGAGACGCUGACCGUCAGCCGAGAGGACCUCCUGCAGCAGCUGUCCAGCCUGACGGACGAGAUGAAGUCCAGCCAGAACCACAUGGAGUCCCUCAGACAGCAGCACAGCACCUUUAAACUGAUGACCAACCAGGAGCUGUCCGAGCGCCAGACACAGCUGGAUCAACUGAAAGAGAAGAACAAACAGCUGGAAAUGAUGCUCCACAUGCACCUGGGCCAGUCCAGAGACCAGGUGUGCUGCAGACUCAUCCUGACGUGUAGAGCAGAACCCCCAGCAGACUCGAGGAAAACCCUUGAGCAAAGCUGUUUAAGAAACCGUUCAGCCAGAAAUUAAGAAGGGUUUACCCUCGGUCCAUCUAAUUAAGAUCAGGAUGAGUUUGUUUCUUCAUCAGGUUUGUAGAAAUGUAGCACUGCAUCAGUGUCUCAGCAAUGGAUGCUCUGCAGUGAAUGGGUGCCGUCAGAAUGAGAGUCCAAACAGCUGAUAAAAACAUCACAAUAAUCCACAAGUAAUCCACAGCACUCCAGUCCAUCAGUGAACAUCUGGAGAAGACAAAAGAUGAAACACAUUCAUCAGUGUUUUAACAUGCAAACCGAAACCAAGAAGAAAGUCCAGCUCUGUAAGGAUUUCAGUCUGUUGUUAGGGUCUGAAAGCUCUAGGACUAGUUCCAGUUUAAAUUCUGUUCUUGAAGCAUGAGUUUUCUUGGCUCCGGUCAGGGCUGGUUUAGUCUGCGUCUGUGUUGGUGGUUGUGAUGUAAGUCUGGACGUUCCUGUGCGUGUGUUUGUAGGUGGAGGAGGUCGGGAACAUUUUGAUCGCGGUGAAGAACCUGUCGGAGCAGUGUUACCUGAGUCACUACGGAGCUCUGGACCUCAUGGACACCUCCUCCAUGAUGGACAUGAUAAAGGUGAGCGGUCAGUUAUCCUGCAGCACCUGAUCAGGAACUCAGGCACGAACGGGUUUCUUUCUGCUCAUGCUUUCAAAGGAAUUCAUCGUAGAGAAAGCCGACAUGGAGAGGAGAGCCACGAGACUCGUAGCCAGCAGCGGCGCCACUGUGAAGAGAACGACCCCGAAGAAGACCCCCAGCAGAAGCGGAGCGCUGACCGCACCGAAGACCCUGCCGUAGACCAGUCCAGCUCACUACAUCUGCUCGUGUAGCGUUCAUGAAGAAACAGCUUUAUAGAGACGAUCAAACACUUCUGUUCAAAUGUUUUUAUUCUUCAGCUUGAAAAUAACUGCUUUAUCAGUAAUUCUGUGAAAUCAUUAAAACAUUAUUUAACAAGGACAGUGUGACAUUUCAGUUCAACCUGAAGCUCAUUUUUACAAGAUUUUCAACUUUGACCAUCGGCAGAAGAGAAUCAAACAACACGAGCGUGAGUAAAUGCUUCGGGUGACAGAAGAAAACCAGACAGAUUUAACACUAGAAGAGUCAUUAAAAUGUAGAAAAAUUGAGGGAAAAUAAAUGCACAUAAAUUUUGGAUUCCA